rnacentral:rRNA from 1 species
GACGAACGCUGGCGGCGUGCUUAACACAUGCAAGUCGUACGGUAAGGCCCUUUCGGGGGUACACGAGUGGAGAACGGGUGAGUAACACGUGAGUAACCUUCCCACAACUUUGGGAUAACGCUAGGAAACUGGGGCUAAUACUGGAUAUGUGCUCCUGCUGCAUGGUGGGGGUUGGAAAGCUCCGGCGGUUGUGGAUGGACUCGCGGCCGAUCAGCUUGUUGGUGGGGUAGUGGCCUACCAAGGCGGCGACGGGUAGCCGGCCUGAGAGGGUGACCGGCCACAUUGGGACUGAGACCAGGACCAGACGCCUACGGGAGGGAGCGGUGGGGAAUAGUGCGCAAUGGAGGAAACUCUGAUGCAGCGACGCCGCGUGAGUGAAGAAGUAAUUCGUUGCGGACAGCUCUAUCAGCAGGGAAGAUAGUGACGGUACCUGACGAAGAAGCUCCGGCUAAAUACGUG